GAUGAACGCUGGCGGCGUGCCUAAUACAUGCAAGUCGAGCGAACAGACGAGGAGCUUGCUCCUCUGACGUUAGCGGCGGACGGGUGAGUAACACGUGGAUAACCUACCUAUAAGACUGGGAUAACUUCGGGAAACCGGAGCUAAUACCGGAUAACAUGUUGAACCGCAUGGUUCAACAGUGAAAGACGGUCUUGCUGUCACUUAUAGAUGGAUCCGCGCCGCAUUAGCUAGUUGGUAAGGUAACGGCUUACCAAGGCAACGAUGCGUAGCCGACCUGAGAGGGGGAAGCGGCCAAACUGAAACUGAAACAGGGUCAAGACCCCAAGGGAGGGAAGAGGGGGGAAAUUUGCCGAAAGGGGGGAAAGCCGGACGGACCAAGCCCGGGGGGGUAAAGAGGGUUUUGGGAUGUAAAACCUCUUUUUUUGGGAAAAAAAAAAUGUAAAAAUAAACAUGCCGGUUUGGAGGGUACCAAAGCAAAAAGCCCCGGCAAACUCGGU
rnacentral:rRNA from 1 species